ACACCGAUGGUGAAGUGGUUAUCAUGCUUGCCUUCCAUCGUCGAAAGCAAGCGGCACGGGUUCGAUUUCCGUUCGGUGUA
rnacentral:tRNA from 1 species